CACUAGCCAGGCCCACUUUUGGUCAUGGCUAGGGGUGUUACGGAGGAAGGUAUAAAAGAUUGAACAGCGGAAGUCUCGUUCUCUUUCCCGGCUUUCUGGCUUCCAGUUCGGCGAUGGAAAACUACAUCAUUUUGGUGUCAGAAGUUCCAGAACCUGGAUCCAGGCACCUAGAAAGCAUCUGCUCCUCGGCCCAACCACCGCCGGCCCCAGGCACACAUGGGCUCUCCUUUCGCUAAGUUCCCCACCACUUCGUUCAGCAAGGCACGAUUCCCACCACCGGGAACCAGUACCUUCAACCUGCUGGAAAGCCCACGUCUGUGUCACACUUCUUCUCUGAGAGGCUCAGGAUCAGUGUGGAAGAGAAGGAAGAAAGAGUGUAAGAACUAGAGGUGUUGGAUAGCUACAAACAAACACGGUCUUCUGGACAUGGGAGGGCAGUGGUUAUGACGGAAUUCACGAGAGCUGUGCAAGCUUCAGCCAGGAAAUAAGAUACUGUGGAUUCAUUCUGUGUUAAGAAAAUUAAAGUUUUAUUGAGGAAGACUCCUUGAAAUAUCUCCAAAGGGAACAGAUGACCCAGAUGGUCCAACAUUUCAGAGUACCUCUGUUUCAGUUUCUCCUGAAUUCUGCAUCCAAAACAACUUCAAGGCUGCUGGUUGAGAUGAUCCAGCCUCACAGAAUACUUCCCAGUUAAUACUUGGCCAUAAUCCUAAAUUUUCUUUGGCUCCCCAAAGGAUUACCCGCACCCUCAAUUUGCAGAAUGUAACCUAGAAAACUACACCCACAUUCCCAAAAAUGGAUUAUGGAUAUUU